CUUUAACUAAAGAUGCUGCUGUUAAUUAUUUUAUUGUUCAUAGUUCGAGUGGGAGCCUUCAAAGCUUUUUAACAGAGUGUUUCUGUCUCCCUUAUAUUUUCUGCUCUGUUGCAAAAGGAGCAGACAGGACCCAGGAGCAAUGUUCAGCGAUCUGGAGCAUCCAGCAAUUCCCAGGACCAGCAAUGUUGCUUGAUACUGGCUCUGGUACAGAGAUCCUCAGUGAGGUGGUGCGAGGAUGCCUGUUGUGUCCUGGUUGCUCGCAUGCAGGGAGAACUCAGAUCCUCCUGCUUCUGCUGAGACGGUACCUGUGGGCCAGACAAGACACCCAAUAGGUGCCAAGACCACAGAUGAGGUCUGUGCUGCAACAGAGCAUCAGCUGUUGGCAGGAGAGUUCAUGCCAGCUCCGUGGUCCCAGAUGGUGAUACAAGUUUUGUAUUACAGAUAAUGGACUCUCAUGGACACCGAAGGGGAGGAGAGAAGAGAAGCCGUUGGCUCAGGACGGGAGCAGGGAAGAUUCGUGGACUCCAUGUGGCUGGCUGCCUUGGGGUCUGGGACUGGAGCUCCAAGGCAAGAGGUUCAGCAGAUUUUCCUUUAAAAAG
rnacentral:lncRNA from 1 species